UACCUGGUUAAUCCUGCCAGUAGCAUAUGCUUGUCUCAAAGAUUAAGCCAUGCAAGACUAAGUAUACACGGCCGGUACAGUGAAACUGCGAAAUGCUCAUUAAAUCAGUUAUGGUUCCUUUGAUCGCUUCAAUGUUACUUGGAUAACUGUGGCAAUUCUAGAGCUAAUACAUGCAGACAAGCGCUGACCUCCGGGGAUGUGUGCAUUUAUCAGACCCAAAACCCAUGCGGGCCAAUCUCGGUUGCCCCGGCCGCUUUGGUGACUCUAGAUAACCUCGAGCCGAUCGCACGCCCUUUGUGGCGGUGACGUCUCAUUCGAAUGUCUGCCCUAUCAACUUUCAAUGGUACAAUAACAGGUCUGUGAUGCCCUUAGAUGUCAGGGGCUGCACGCGCGCCACACUGAGCGGAUCAGCGUGUGUCUACCCUUUGCCGAGAGGCGUGGGUAACCCGCUGAACCCCACUUGUGAUAGGGAUUGGGGAUUGCAAUUAUUUCCCAUGAACAAGGAAUUCCCAGUAAGCGCGGGUCAUAAGCUCGCUUUAAUUAAGUCCCUGCCCUUUGUACACACCGCUCGUCGCUACUACCGAUUGGAUGGUUUAGUGAGGUCCUCGGAUCGGCCCCGCCGAGGUCGGUCACGGCCCUGGCGGAGCGCCGAGAAGACGAUCUACUUGGAUACGGUGGACCCGAGGAGGGAAGCGUGUGCGCCCACCGAAUCAAAU
rnacentral:rRNA from 1 species